rnacentral:rRNA from 1 species
UACUGGGCGUAAAGCGCAUGCAGGUGGUUGUUAAGUCAGAUGUGAAAGCCCGGGGCUCAACCUCGGAAUUGCAUUUGAAACUGGCAAACUAGAGUACUGUAGAGGGGGUAGAAUUUCAGGUGUAGCGGUGAAAUGCGUAGAGAUCUGAAGGAAUACCGGUGGCGAAGGCGGCCCCCUGGACAGAUACUGACACUCAGAUGCGAAAGCGUGGGGAGCAAACAGGAUUAGAUACCCUGGUAG